CAGCCGCCGCGGUAAUACCGGCGGCCCGAGUGGCGGCCACUAUUAUUGGGCUUAAAGCGUCCGUAGCCGGGUUGGUUAGUCUCCCGGGAAAUCUGGCCGCUUAACGGUCAGAAUUCCGGGAGAUACUGCCAGCCUAGGGACCGGGAGAGGCCGAGGGUAUUCCCGGAGUAGGGGUGAAAUCCUGUAAUCCCGGGAGGACCACCUGUGGCGAAGGCGCUCGGCUGGAACGGGUCCGACGGUGAGGGACGAAGGCCAGGGGAGCGAACCGGAUUAGAUACCCGGGUAGUCCUGGCUGUAAACGAUGCGGACUAGGUGUCGGGCAAGCUAAGGGCUUGUCCGGUGCCGGAGGGAAGCCGUUAAGUCCGCCGCCUGGGGAGUACGGCCGCAAGGCUGAAACUUAAAGGAAUUGGCGGG
rnacentral:rRNA from 1 species